rnacentral:rRNA from 1 species
CGCGUAGGCGGCCAUGCAAGUCUGGAGUGAAAGUCCUCAUUUUAAGUGAGGAAUUGCUUUGGAAACUGCGUGGCUUGAGUGCAGGAGAGGUUAUCGGAAUUCCCGGUGUAGCGGUGAAAUGCGUAGAGAUCGGGAGGAACACCAGUGGCGAAGGCGGGUAACUGGACUGCAACUGACGCUGAGGCGCGAAAGUGUGGGGAGCAAACA